rnacentral:rRNA from 1 species
CAAUAGCGUAUAUUAAAGUUGUUGCAGUUAAAAAGCUCGUAGUUGGAUUUCUGGUUGAAGCGACCGGUCGGGCGUUGAUUCGUCUGCACUGGAGUCGGUUUUGGCCAUCCUCUAGGAAAGUGCGUCUGGUAUUAAGUUAUCGGGCGUAUGAUCCUGGUCUUUUACUGUGAAAAAAUUAGAGUGUUUAGAGCAGGCCUUCGCCUUGAAUACAUUAGCAUGGAAUAAUAAGAUAGGACUUUGGUCUAUUUUGUUGGUUUGCAGACCGAAGUAAUGAUUAAUAGGGAUAGUUGGGGGUAUUUAUAUUCCGAUGUCAGAGGUGAAAUUCUUAGAUUUUCGGAAGAUAAACUUAUGCGAAAGCAUUUACCAAGGAUGUUUUCAUUA